AAACGACUCUCGGCAACGGAUAUCUCGGCUCUCGCAUCGAUGAAGAACGCAGCAAAAUGCGAUACUUGGUGUGAAUUGCAGAAUCCCGUGAAUCAUCGAGUUUUUGAACGCAAGUUGCGCCCGAAGCCUUCCGGCCAAGGGCACGUCUGCCUGGGUGUCACGCAACCGUUGCUCCCAACCCCUUCGACACGUCGAGGGGCACUGGGACGGAUGCUGGCCUCCCGUGUGCCGCGAGGCGUGCGGUUGGCCCAAAAGCUCGGCUCCCGGCGAAGGUCGGCACGACAAUCGGUGGUUGUAAGACCCUCUGACACGGUCGUGCACGAUCACAGGCCAUAAGGGACCUCCGAGACCCCGAUGCACGGCCCCCGAGGAAGUGCUCCAACCGCGACCCCAGGUCAGGCGGGACCACCCGCUGAGUUUAAGCAUAUCAAUAAGCGGAGGAAAAGAAACUUACCAGGAUUCCCCUAGUAACGGCGAGCGAACCGGGAACAGCCC
rnacentral:rRNA from 1 species